rnacentral:lncRNA from 1 species
GGAGGUGUAAGAUGAAAUAAAUUACUAUUAUCAGCAAAAUGAUGAGGAACUUCUAAAUCCUUACCUAAUUUAGCCCGGGCCCAAACAGAAAAUAAACCAAAAAUAAUAAUAAUAAUAAUCAUAAAGUCCAAAUUAAAAAAAAAUAGUCUAUUUACAAAUAGGGCCUCAUAUAUUACGAGCUCAAAUGGCCCAAAUUUUAAAAAAAAAACCCUAAAGCCCACGACACUAGUGCUUGCCACUAUCAACUGCUCUGCCACCGUCAUCCUCAACCACCCCUUGCAAGAAAAAGGAAGAAAAGACAGCAAACAACAGUACGAAACAGUAGAAAAAUAGAAAAAAUAAUAUUGUAAAUUGGCUAUAAAAGCCAGAGAAAAAAAUUGUAUUAAGGGGUUUUUUUUUUAAAAAAAAAGAGAAAAUUGAAUAUAUUCGAGACUUGAAUACAAAAACAGAGAGAAGC